UGGGUCCUUAUCAACUCUUAUCACAGUCCUGAUUCUCACCUUUAUGAUAAAGAGUGAAAUCUGCUGCCACACUGUUUGCAACUGUUUUGACGAUGCUGUAAAAUAUGAUUUUUGCAAUGUUGGUAUCAAAUUGAAUGCAGAUGUGGAUCUGAGCGAGUUUAUUACUGCAUUGUCUUAGGUUGUAAAACCUAAUGUGGAUUUCUUUUGUGGUAAUGCUGAAAAGGAAGAAAACAGUUUUAGAAUGUUAUGGGAGACGGCAGUGAUUCUUGGUAUUUUACACAUAGCAAGAAGCGACUGUCCUUCAGGCUGUUAUUGCAUGGAACAAACUAUUGAUUGUUCUUCUAGAAAGUUGACAUAUUUUCCUCAUGACCUCUCUUUCCAGAUAUUUCAAGAUACGACUGACACCCUGAACGGAUUGAAUAGAAAAUACAUAACUAGUCUGAACUUGGCAAACAACCAAAUAUCCGGAUGGCAAGGAAAGAUUUUGGCUGACAUUCUCCCCAACUUGGUCAGUUUGGAUCUAUCCAACAACAAAAUAGCACAAGUCGCGAGUGCACAAAGUAUUCUUCUAAACAUCAAGCUUCUUAAUCUGAAACUAUCCAACAACCCAAUUCAAAAUUUGGGAUCUGACAUUGACACUGUUCUAUACAGCCAAUCUAUCUCUCAUCUUGAUGUUUCUUCC